CCUACGGGGGGCUGCAGUGGGGAAUUUUCCGCAAUGGGCGAAAGCCUGACGGAGCAACGCCGCGUGGGGGAAGAAGGUCUUUGGAUUGUAAACCCCUUUUCUCAGGGAAGAAGCCCUGACGGUACCUGAGGAAUAAGCCUCGGCUAACUCCGUGCCAGCAGCCGCGGUAAUACGGAGGAGGCAAGCGUUAUCCGGAAUUAUUGGGCGUAAAGCGUUCGUAGGUGGCUAUUCAAGUCGGCGGUCAAAGACCCGAGCUUAACUCGGGAAAGGCCGUG
rnacentral:rRNA from 1 species